AACGAACGCUGGCGGCAUGCCUAACACAUGCAAGUCGAACGAGACCUUCGGGUCUAGUGGCGCACGGGUGCGUAACGCGUGGGAACCUGCCCUUAGGUUCGGAAUAACUCCCCGAAAGGGGUGCUAAUACCGGAUAAUGUCUUCGGACCAAAGAUUUAUCGCCUUUGGAUGGGCCCGCGUUGGAUUAGCUAGUUGGUAGGGUAAAAGCCUACCAAGGCGACGAUCCAUAGCUGGUCUGAGAGGAUGAUCAGCCACACUGGGACUGAGACACGGCCCAGACCCCUAGGGGGGGCCGCAGGGGGGAAUAUUGGAAAAUGGGCGAAAGCCUGAUCCAGCAAUGCCGGGGGAGUGAUGAAGGCCUUAGGGUUGUAAAGCUCUUUUACCCGGGAUGAUAAUGAAGGAACCGGGAGAAAAAGCCCCGGCAAACUCCGU
rnacentral:rRNA from 1 species